rnacentral:siRNA from 1 species
AUGCAUGAUUGGCAGUGACUGAGA